AUAAUGGGUCAGCGACUUAUAUUCUGUAGCAAGGUUAACCGAAUAGGGGAGCCGAAGGGAAACCGAGUCUUAACUGGGCGUUAAGUUGCAGGGUAUAGACCCGAAACCCGGUGAUCUAGCCAUGGGCAGGUUGAAGGUUGGGUAACACUAACUGGAGGACCGAACCGACUAAUGUUGAAAAAUUAGCGGAUGACUUGUGGCUGGGGGUGAAAGGCCAAUCAAACCGGGAGAUAGCUGGUUCUCCCCGAAAGCUAUUUAGGUAGCGCCUCGUGAAUUCAUCUCCGGGGGUAGAGCACUGUUUCGGCAAGGGGGUCAUCCCGACUUACCAACCCGAUGCAAACUGCGAAUACCGGAGAAUGUUAUCACGGGAGACACACGGCGGGUGCUAACGUCCGUCGUGAAGAGGGAAACAACCCAGACCGCCAGCUAAGGUCCCAAAGUCAUGGUUAAGUGGGAAACGAUGUGGGAAGGCCCAGACAGCCAGGAUGUUGGCUUAGAAGCAGCCAUCAUUUAAAGAAAGCGUAAUAGCUCACUGGUCGAGUCGGCCUGCGCGGAAGAUGUAACGGGGCUAAACCAUGCACCGAAGCUGCGGCAGCGACGCUGAUGCGUUGUUGGGUAGGGGAGCGUUCUGUAAGCCUGCGAAGGUGUGCUGUGAGGCAUGCUG
rnacentral:rRNA from 1 species